rnacentral:rRNA from 1 species
GAUGAACGCUGGCGGCGUGCCUAAUACAUGCAAGUCGAGCGAACAGACGAGGAGCUUGCUCCUCUGACGUUAGCGGCGGACGGGUGAGUAACACGUGGAUAACCUACCUAUAAGACUGGGAUAACUUCGGGAAACCGGAGCUAAUACCGGAUAAUAUAUUGAACCGCAUGGUUCAAUAGUGAAAGACGGUUUUGCUGUCACUUAUAGAUGGAUCCGCGCCGCAUUAGCUAGUUGGUAAGGUAACGGCUUACCAAGGCGACGAUGCGUAGCCGACCUGAGAGGGUGAUCGGCCACACUGGAACUGAGACACGGUCCAGACUCCUACGGGAGGCAGCAGUAGGGAAUCUUCCGCAAUGGGCGAAAGCCUGACGGAGCAACGCCGCGUGAGUGAUGAAGGUCUUCGGAUCGUAAAACUCUGUUAUUAGGGAAGAACAAAUGUGUAAGUAACGAUGCACGUCUUGACGGUACCGAAUCAGAAAGCCACGGCUAACUACGU